rnacentral:rRNA from 1 species
UACGGGGGGGGCAAGCGUUGUUCGGAAUUACUGGGCGUAAAGGGCUCGUAGGUGGCCAACUAAGUCAGACGUGAAAUCCCUCGGCUUAACCGGGGAACUGCAUCUGAUACUGGAUGGCUUGAGUUUGGGAGAGGGAUGCGGAAUUCCAGGUGUAGCGGUGAAAUGCGUUGAUAUCGAUAGGAACUCCGGUGGCGAAGGCGGCAUACUGGACCACCUCUGACGCUGAGGCGCGAAAGCCAGGGGAGCAAACGGG